GUAGGUGGCAAGCGUUGUCCGGAAUUAUUGGGCGUAAAGCGCGCGCAGGCGGUCCUUUAAGUCUGAUGUGAAAGCCCACGGCUCAACCGUGGAGGGUCAUUGGAAACUGGGGGACUUGAGUGCAGAAGAGAAGAGUGGAAUUCCACGUGUAGCGGUGAAAUGCGUAGAGAUGUGGAGGAACACCAGUGGCGAAGGCGACUCUUUGGUCUGUAACUGACGCUGAGGCGCGAAAGCGUGGGGAGCAAACAGGAUUAGAUACCCUGGUAGUCCACGCCGUAAACGAUGAGUGCUAAGUGUUAGAGGGUUUCCCGCCCUUUAGUGCUGCAGCAAACGCAUUAAGCACUCCCGCCUGGGAGUACGGCCGCAAGGCUG
rnacentral:rRNA from 1 species